rnacentral:lncRNA from 1 species
CCCAGAGUGAAAGACAGAGGAACCAAUCGAGGCUCGGCUGACCUCAGACGUCUAAGGCGAUAGGCGUUGCUAAGAAAAGGGGGUGGGACGAUACCCAGUUGCCAAGACGACGGCUUCCGGGUGGGCGGCUUGAGGUGGCUUCCGGCCGCCAGGCGAGACUCCGCGGGAAAACUCCCUGCUAGAGAGACUAGGAGAUUUGGGGCUGCGGCCGUUUCCUCCGGAGCACCCACGGGACUGUGUGCUGGGGUCCCUCCACCGGCUGUGUCCUUUAUUCUUCUUUCUCACCCAACGAUUUACCUGAACGGUUAUAAAGUGCACGUUAUUUCCCUAAGCACUUUGAGUAUAUUGGCCCACUGCAUUCUGGACUUCAAAAUUUCUGAUGCGAAAUAUGCUGAUACUUUUGUUGAAGAAAUCUGGGCUUUGAGCAUCUGUAAGAUAUUUGUUGGAAGGUUUUGUCUGGUCCUUCUUACUGAUGUGUUGCUCUUCUUCAUGGCUCGUGAAAACUAUUAGAGUCAUCCAAGGUUUGGAGACAGAAAGGAGCACCGCCAAGUGAGGCAGAGCAGUCUCAGAAACAUAGGAAAAUGGUGGGAAGAGAGAUCAGCAACGUUAACUGGGUGUCAAGAAAACAUACCGAGAUUGAAGCCAUCCACUUCUGCAGGAACACCGAAAAGAAAGGACUGUGAAGACAACCAGAGUGGGAAGGAACCUCAGAAACCUUUGGACCAACAGAGGAAAAAGCCCAGAGGUGCAGGACAUAGAUCAAAACCAGUCGCAUGCGAGUCAUUCUAGGAUCCGGCCAAAGUUAAUUAACAGAGGGCCAUUCAGUCUCCACCGAGUCAAACAAUAAUUAGGAUGAAACAAUCCUAUUAACCCAUGGAUUUAAUGUCUACAAAGCAGAAAGUAGAAUAACUUGGACUUAAAGGCUGAAUGACCCAUUUCUUCAGCCUCCUCUCAAAGGCAAUAUUUCUCAGCCCUUCAGUCAUUUUCAUUGCUCUCUUCUGGCCUCUCUCCAAGAUUCUGUAUCUUGUUUAAAUAGUGAAGUCCAACACCGAACAUGAUUUAAGAACAGUCAUGCCUGGAAAAGUAACAAAGGCCCAACGAAUACGGACUCCAGAAAGUAAACAUUUUCUCAAAAACAAAAGUAUUGUAAUAUUAAUAAUGGUAGUAAGAAUUAGGUUGACCAAAUAAAAUCAUUUUUGUUGCCC